ACAAAAGCGGUGAGCAGGAGUAGUAGGUCAACGCGUACACAGAGAGUAGCCGGGUGGUGCAAGGCUACAAGCCAAUUCGACCGAACUCGCCUGUGAGCAAUAAGUGUGAAGUUACUUUCCUCAAGGUAUGACAGGACAGUGGUCCAAAUAGGUUCAAUAGUACCUGGAUAGAACCUAGCACUUGUCGGGACGCCCGUUAUAGCAUACAAUGAGUGUACAUCAAUCGACUCGGCGCACAACCAUCUAAGGGCCUGUAGCGCAGCUGGAAGAGCGCAUCCAUGGCAUGGAUGAGGUCAGGGGUUCGAGCCCCCUCAGGUCCACCAGUUUCAACCUUCCCGCCUGAGAAACAUUGAUGACAAAUCAGGGUGGUACCACGGAAUAGCCUUUCGUCCCUCGC
rfam:Ktedonobacter sp. 13_1_20CM_4_53_11 13_1_20cm_4_scaffold_3049, whole genome shotgun sequence.